rnacentral:rRNA from 1 species
AUUGAACGCUGGCGGCAUGCUUUACACAUGCAAGUCGAACGGUAACAGGCCUUCGGGUGCUGACGAGUGGCGAACGGGUGAGUAAUGCAUCGGAACGUGCCCAGAGGUGGGGGAUAACGCAGCGAAAGCUGUGCUAAUACCGCAUGUGAUCUGAGGAUGAAAGCGGGGGACCAGGCAGCAAUGUUUGGCCUCGCGCCUUUGGAGCGGCCGAUGUCAGAUUAGGUAGUUGGUGGGGUAAGGCCUACCAAGCCGACGAUCUGUAGCUGGUCUGAGAGGACGACCAGCCACACUGGGACUGAGACACGGCCCAGACUCCUACGGGAGGCAGCAGUGGGGAAUUUUGGACAAUGGGCGCAAGCCUGAUCCAGCAAUGCCGCGUGCGGGAAGAAGGCCUUCGGGUUGUAAACCGCUUUUGUACGGAACGAAAAGGCUCUGGCUAAUACCUGGGGCUGAUGACGGUACCGUAAGAAUAAGCACCGGCUAACUACGUG